rnacentral:rRNA from 1 species
UACAGAGGGUGCGAGCGUUAAUCGGAAUUACUGGGCGUAAAGCGUGCGUAGACGGUUUCGUAAGUCGGGUGUGAAAUCCCCGGGCUCAACCUGGGAAUUGCAUUCGAAACUGCGAGGCUAGGGUACGGAAGAGGGAAGCGGAAUUUCUGGUGUAGCGGUGAAAUGCGUAGAUAUCGGAAGGAACACCAGUGGCGAAGGCGGCUACCUGGACUUAAACUGACACUGAGGCGCGAAAGCGUGGGUAGCAAACAGG